ensembl:snoRNA U3 Small nucleolar RNA U3
AAGACUAUACUUUCAGGGAUCAUUUCUAUAGUUCAUUACUAAAGAAGUUUAUCUGAACAUGUAGAACACAUGACACCACAAGGAGGAGGCACAACAUUCUCCCUAGAGCCUGAAGCUGGCUCUUGGUGUUGCAUGACUACAGCAGCCAUUUGUCACUGAUGACUGUUCUCUUCCAGGAGAAUAAGAAGGAGAAGAUGCAGUUUGGGUUGU